AGGGGGGGGGGCGUGCUUAACCUGCAAGUCGAACGGACUCAUAUUGAAACCUAGUGAUUUAUGAGUUAGUGGCGCAUUUAAAGAGUAACGCGUGGAUAACCUGCCGUAUACCGGGCCAUAACACUUAGAAAUAGGUGCUAAUACCGCAUAAGCGCACGGCUCCGCAUGGGGCAGUGUGAAAAACUCCGGUGGCAUACGAUGGAUCCGCGUCUGAUUAGCUAGUUGGCGGGGUAACGGCCCACCAAGGCAGCGAUCAGUAGCCGGCCUGAGAGGGUGGACGGCCACAUUGGGACUGAGACACGGCCCAAACUCCUACGGGAGGCAGCAGUGGGGAAUAUUGCACAAUGGGGGAAACCCUGAUGCAGCGACGCCGCGUGAGUGAAGAAGUAUCUCGGUACGUAAAGCUCUAUCAGCAGGGAAGAAAAUGACGGUACCUGACUAAGAAGCCCCGGCUAACUACGUGCCAGCAGCCGCGGUAAUACGUAGGGGGCAAGCGUUAUCCGGAUUUACUGGGUGUAAAGGGAGCGUAGACGGCAGCACAAGUCUGGAGUGAAAUCCCGGGGCUUAACCCCGGAACUGCUUUGGAAACUGUGCGGCUGGAGUGCAGGAGGGGUAAGCGGAAUUCCUAGUGUAGCGGUGAAAUGCGUAGAUAUUAGGAGGAACACCGGUGGCGAAGGCGGCUUACUGGACUGUAACUGACGUUGAGGCUCGAAAGCGUGAGGAGCAAACAGGAUUAAAUACCCUGGUAGUCCACGCCGAAAACGAUGAUUACUAAGUGUCGGGGGAUCAAGGUCCUCCGGUGCCGGCCCACACGCAUUUAAUAUUCCCCCCUGGGGAGUACGUUCGCAAAAAUGAAACUCAAAUGAAUUGAAGGGGAAACCCCCACAAUGGGGGGACCAU
rnacentral:rRNA from 1 species